ACACGACUACAUUAGAUACCCGUGUAGUCCUAGCCGUAAACGAUACUCGCUAGGUGUCGGCCACGGUGCGACCGUUGUCGGUGCCGUAGGGAAGCCGUGAAGCGAGCCACCUGGGAAGUACGGCCGCGAAGGCUGAAACUUAAAGGAAUUGGCGGGGGAGCGCCACAACGGGUGGAGCUUGCGGUUUAAUUGGAUUCAACGCCGGAAAUCUUACCGGGACCGACAGCAACAUGAAGGCCAGGCUGAAGACUUUGCCGGAUUAGCUG
rnacentral:rRNA from 1 species